AUUUGUUCUCUCAAUUUACAUCUUGCAAUGGUGAAAAAAGGUCUUUUACAUUCUUUUGACAUGACUUUUCUUCUCACAACUGAGUUUACACAGUAUCUAGCAGUUGUGAAUGUACAUCUUGCAAUUAUAAGUUAUAUCUUCCAAUUCUGACUUUUUUCUAUUAUUAUUAUUAUUUUUUUUUUUUUAAUCUUGUGAUGCAGAAUGAAGUUUCCAUACUUUUGUGAUAUGUUUAACAUUAAUUAAUAGUUAUAGAGAAGAUCUUACCUAGUUUGGUAUCUGGAAUCAUUUCACACUCAGCCAAGGGCGACGCAGUAGAAGCUACACAUGCAGAGAGGAGGUGAGCCAUUAUUCAUCGUUUUAUCCACAUAAAAGUAAACACUAUAGUUUGUUUUACAUUACAGUUCAAAUGGUCUUAAAAUCAUGACAGACAUUAAUUUAGUCGUUCUGUUAUGUUGGGAUGAUUUCAUGUUACUAGAAUUGUCAUUCAGGUAAUUUUGGGAUGAUUUUGUCAGUUGGUUAUGGUUUGAACAUUCUGUUUGGUAAGUUUUAUAGUACUGUAGAGUCAGGCUGAAGGGUAUGCAAAUGUUACUGUAAAGUGAUUCCACAUUGAUGUUGUGUUAUUUUGCUGUUUUAAGCUCUCGAGCAAAUUACCGGACUUAACCUUCACCCUAACUGCUACAGUAAUGAGGACAAUCAGUCAGUGUGCUCAGUUCCUGAGAUCCUGGUGGAGAGUCAUAACUUUUUAUCACCCAAUCAUGGUGAGUCAAUAACAUUUAUGACUGGUAGUUUUCUAAUCAGGUGAGUUUUACCUCCUACUUUAGAAUCUAGUUAAAGAGGAAGUCUCGUCCCACAGGACAGCUUCAUAACAGAAGAGAUCACAUCUGAAUCUUUUCUCUUUUGACAGCAGUGGUGUUAAAUUGGGGACAAAAAGGACACUUUUUUUUUUCUUUUUUGAUUUCCAGAAUCUGAGAUUAUUUUCCCAUGAGAAAAGACCCCCAAACCCAGCUUUCUGCAGCUGAAGCCUUUAAGGCUUCCUCUGCAGAAAAACAGACAUCCCCUGUCCCACGACGUCCCCAACCUCAUGGCCUUGGCAGCUUCUUAGAUCCUCCAUCUAAUCCAAGAGUGGAAAAACGAGAGGUCACACAAGUGUGCAUUGCAUAA
rnacentral:lncRNA from 12 species